GUAGUCCACGCCGUAAACGAUGAGAACUGGUUUUUGGGGGUAUUGACUCCCUCAGAAACGAAGCUAACGCGUUAAGUUCUCCGCCUGGGAAGUACGGUCGCAAGACUAAAACUCAAAGGAAUUGACGGGGGCCCGCACAAGCGGUGGAUUAUGUGGUUUAAUUCGAAGCAACGCGCAGAACCUUACCUGGGCUUGAAAUCCUGCGAACUCGUCGUAAUGGAUGAGGUGUCCUUCGGGAAACGCAGAGACAGGUGCUGCAUGGCUGUCGUCAGCUCGUGUUGUGAAAUGUUGGGUUAAGUCUCGCAACGAGCGCAACCCCUAUCUUUAGUUGCCAGCAUUAAGUUGGGCACUCUAGAGAGACUGCCUGGGUUAACCAGGA
rnacentral:rRNA from 1 species